UACGGAGGGGGCUAGCGUUGUUCGGAAUUACUGGGCGUAAAGCGCACGUAGGCGGCUUGGUAAGUUAGAGGUGAAAGCCCGGAGCUCAACUCCGGAAUUGCCUUUAAGACUGCCGAGCUAGCAGGUGAGAGAGGUGAGUGGAAUUCCGAGUGUAGAGGUGAAAUUCGUAGAUAUUCGGAAGAACACCAGUGGCGAAGGCGGCUCACUGGCUCAUACUGGACGCUGAGGUGCGAAAGCGUGGGGAGCGAACAGG
rnacentral:rRNA from 1 species